rnacentral:rRNA from 1 species
GACGUAGGGCGCGAGCGUGUCCGGAUUUAUUGGGCGUAAAGAGCUCGUAGGCGGCUUGUCGCGUCGAAUGUGAAAUCUCAGGGCUCAACUCCGAGCUUGCAGUCGAUACGGGCAGGCUAGAGUUCGGCAGGGGAGACUGGAAUUCCUGGUGUAGCGGUGAAAUGCGCAGAUAUCAGGAGGAACACCGGUGGCGAAGGCGGGUCUCUGGGCCGAUACUGACACUGAGGAGCGAAAGCGUGGGGAGCGAACAGG